UACGAAGGGGGCUAGCGUUGUUCGGAUUUACUGGGCGUAAAGCGCACGUAGGCGGAUCGUUAAGUCGGGGGUGAAAUCCUGGAGCUCAACUCCAGAACUGCCUUCGAUACUGGCGAUCUUGAGUCCGGAAGAGGUGAGUGGAACUCCUAGUGUAGAGGUGGAAUUCGUAGAUAUUAGGAAGAACACCAGUGGCGAAGGCGGCUCACUGGUCCGGUACUGACGCUGAGGUGCGAAAGCGUGGGGAGCAAACAGGG
rnacentral:rRNA from 1 species